rnacentral:tRNA from 2 species
CGGAGAGUGGCGCAGCUGGUAGCGCGCAUCGUUUGGGACGAUGAGGCCCCGGGUUCGAGUCCCGGCUCUCCGACAA